rnacentral:rRNA from 1 species
GACGUAGGGGGCCAGCGUUGUUCGGAAUUACUGGGUGUAAAGGGUUCGUAGGCGGUGCGGCAAGUUGGGAGUGAAAUCUCUGGGCUUAACCCAGAGGCUGCUUCCAAAACUGCUGUGCUUGAGUGUGGGAGAGGCGCGUGGAAUUGCAGGUGUAGCGGUGAAAUGCGCAGAUAUCAGGAGGAACACCAUAGUCGGAAGGCAGCUCGCUGGGACGGUACUGACGCUGAGACGACGAACGUGGGGAG